GUAUGUGGUGCUCAGGAUGGAACCCGGGCCGCACGCAUGCCAGACAAUCUUGCUAUAUUUCCCAGGAUGGCCUUGAACUCCCCAUCUUCUCACCUCAGUCCAGAGCUGCCGGGAUUACAGGUGAUCCUGUAACUAAUCUCCAAACAGAAGAUAUUUUGGGGGUGAAGAAUGGCGGAAUUUGGUAUCAGUUCUCACUCCAUGACUUACUAGAUUUGAGAAGCCUUGGAGAAGUCAUUUGGUUCCUGUCUUACAGAUGAAGAAGCUGAGGAUCAUUAACAAUUAUGAGGCACUUAUGUAUGUCAGGACACUGUGAAAAGUACUAGGAAUCCAAGUCUUUGGUAAUGGUUUAACAUGGGAGGUGGACAUAGGCAAAUUUUCCGUAGACAGUAAGAGCUGAAACAGAGAUAAUCGAGGCACCACAGGAUAAUGAGGAGCUUGCAAGGGCUUAGCCCUAGAACGUUUGGGGAAUACUUCAGAAAGCAGAGACCUGAGCAGAGCUGAAGGAUGAACGGGCAAAAGCAAUCCAGGCAGAAGGCAUGGAAGUGUGUCAGGGACAGAGACAGAAGACAAGCUGGUAGGCCUGGCUGGACACACCUCAGGCAGUGACAAAAGACUAGAAGGAAAACGCCAGGUGAAAGUGGCAAAGGACAUAUCUGAGAUGCCUGUUAUCCCAGCAGCUCGGGAGGCUGAGGCGAGAAGAUUGCAAGUUCAGAGCCAGCCUGAGCAAAAGCAAG